rnacentral:rRNA from 1 species
UACAGAGGGUGCGAGCGUUAAUCGGAAUUACUGGGCGUAAAGCGCGCGUAGGCGGUUUUGUAAGUCGGGUGUGAAAUCCCCAGGCUUAACCUGGGAACUGAAUUCGAGACUGCAUUGCUAGAGUAUGGGAGAGGGAAGUGGAAUUUCCGGUGUAGCGGUGAAAUGCGUAGAUAUCGGAAGGAACAUCAGUGGCGAAAGCGACUUCCUGGACCAAUACUGACGCUCAUGUGCGAAAGCGUGGGGAGCAAACAGG